AGGAGACUCAGGUCCUAAAGGAAGGAAGAACUCCAACUCUGGCAUGAAGAAUGAGUCAGAUUCCUGGAGUCUUCCUCUCAAACGUUCAGAAGUGCUCCAUGUAAACUCUUAAGAUUCUGGCAGGCGGGUGAGGAGAUCAUCUUGAGGCCACCGGAGAGAAACUUCACAUGUGCAGGAAAACAAUCUAUUCCUCUAUGAGUGCCACAUCUCAGCCAUUUUACUUUGAACGUCUG